rnacentral:rRNA from 1 species
GACGAACGCUGGCGGCAUGCCUAACACAUGCAAGUCUAGGGGUAGCAAUACCACUGGCGCACGGGUGAGUAACACGUAGGUUAUCUGCCCCCAUCACAGACAUAACCCCGGGAAACCGGGGCUAAUAUCUGAUGAGGUCGCGAGAUCAAAGCUUCGGCGGAUGGGGAUGAGCCUGCGGCUGAUUAGCUAGUUGGUGAGGUAAUGGCUCACCAAGGCGACGAUCAGUAGCUGGUCUGAGAGGACGAACAGCCACACUGGAACUGAGACACGGUCCAGACUCCUACGGGAGGCGGCAGUGAGGAAUAUUGGUCAAUGGGAGCAAUCCUGAACCAGCAAUGCCGCGUGUGGGAUGACAGGGCUUCGCCUUGUAAACCACUGUCGGACGGGACGAAAGGAGGCCUCGGGCCUCUGGGACGGUACCGUCAAAGGAAGGGUCGGCUAACUACGUGCCAGCAGCCGCGGUAAU